UCCAAGGCUGUACUGAAUGCUGAGCCCAUGGAUGUAUAGUAAUUCUAUCAUCCGGAGAGGCAAAUCUAGAUAAGUGGAGAUAAAAUAACUCCAAAG